rnacentral:lncRNA from 10 species
AGAAAAUGUUAUAUCUGAGUGCUAUUUCUUUUGCAGCACCAAAACUUUAUUUAUAACAAUUUGGGGGCUCAUCCGGGAUUACAUUCCACUCUGGGGGCAGUCUCUGGUUCUCUCUCAUGAGGAGGCAUGCCCCGCCCCCUUGUGGUGGCCUCAGGGGUGAGAAAUCAAGACUCACCCAGUGCAAGGAAUAACCUGAGCUCUCAGCAACAUGGGAAAAAAAAAAAAACUGGCCCACAACCUAGCUUAAAGGAUCCUCACAUACUGCGACAAUGACUCUGUGCACAGACCAAGGAAGGAGAAGCCACAGGAGCUGGUAAAGUAUUUCCUUGGUGGUCGAGACUAAGGAAAAAGCUGCGAGGCGGUAAAUCAUUCCUUGGUUAGGACAUACCAAGUAGAGAGAAACUGCAGGGGCAGUAAAGCAUUCCUUAGUUAGGACUAGGGAAAGAAAGCCACAGGGGGCAGUGAAGUAUUCCUUAGUUGGGAAGCCUUGGAGGUUAAAAAGACGUGAGAAAUCCCCAUGAUGGGGAGGUUGAACCUCAAAAAGAG